CAAAAGGAUUCCCUUUUUAAGAUGAUUCUAUCCAGAUCUCCUCCCCUAGCGCCUGUAUUGACUUUUUCAAUGCCUGCAAAUUUAAUGGCUUUAGGAUCUCCAUUGUGGCUGGUUCUAAUAUGUCUUGCCACAGGAGUUUCUCUGAGAUUCCUAAUGGAGUAUACAUGUUCCAUGAUUCGCUUUUUGAAGGGGCGUAUCGUCUUGCCAACAUAUUUUAGGCCGCAAACACAACUAAGGAGGUAUAUAACUCCUUUUGUAUUGCAAUUGAAAAAAUGUUUGACCUUACAGAUGAU